AGUUAUUCUACAUCCGUUUUGCUUAUGACCGAUGUAGAAGUGAGCCCCUCCUGCGAACACGCUAGGUUAAAGCAUACUCGAGGCCAAGGCCUCUUCGCUCUCUUCCUCCUCCAUCUUCGCCGUCGCUACGUCUCCGUCUUCCUUCAACCACCGCAUCACCAUCCCUAAUUUCCUAACCUUACACGAAUCUCGCGCCUUCCUCCUUGUCCUCCUCAACAACCUUCUCCUCUCCAAUGCCCCCUCCCGCACUCCCCUCCUCAUUUCCCAAACCCUAAAUUCAAACUUGAUAGAGCAACAUUGGUCUCUAACUUGAUAUUUCUUUUUCCUUCUAGGUUGUAAGGCGUGAAAUAUGUGCAGUGGUUACAAAAGGUACAUUAACGGAUGGGGAGCUGCUGUCUUCAAACCCUGAAGCUGCUUAUUUAAUGGCCCUGACCGAGCAUCAUGAAAAUAAUCCAGAUGAAAUUUCAUAGCAUAUCUAUGGUGUUUUUAUAGUUGAUGUCGCCACAAGUAGGGUUAUUCUUGGACAGCUCCACUAAAGAAUGCAAUUGACUGGGCAUCUAGACCCCCAAAUGUUUGGGCUGGCAAAGCUGCUGCAAUUGUAAGUGCUGGAUAUGAUGAACCUGGUGGGGGAAGGGAACAAUAUCAUCUUGCCAAAUUGGAGUCUAUCUUGAUCUUCAUUUCAUCAAUAAACCAGAAUUCUUCCUUAAUUCAUUCCAGCCCCCCAAAAAGUUUAACAGGGAUGGUGAUUUAAUUGAUGAAGAGGCCAAGAAUAAGUUAAAGCAAGUUCUUCUAUCCUUGCAGAAAUUGACCCUUAGACUUCAAGGCAAAGGCUGAGCCUCAAGUUGCUCUAGUUCUCAAAAGUUUUUGAGAACAGAGUGUAGCAACAGAGAAAGCAGGUUUGGCCGUAAACAAGAAAGGUUUGACUUUAAAAGAACUUCUCCAGCAAACGUCUCAUCAUAAUGCAAAAGUUCAUAGAGAUGCAUUGAUUGGUAUUAAGGAUUUAUUCAUUAGAUAUCCAGAAGAACAAAGGUUGCACAAGUAUACUGCUAUAGAAAAACUUCGUGAGCGCAUUGGUGAUGAUGAUAAAGUGGUCCGAAAAUCAUUAUAUGAUCUUUUUAAAGUAGUGAUUUUACCUGGCUGUAAAGAGGAUUAUGACCUGGUUAAAUCUUAUGUGUCAAAGAUCCAAGAGAUGGAAGGUGAAUUACAGCGUUUGAAAAAUUCAAAUGAGAAAUCUAGACAUUUUGUUGACUGAGUUGAUUAGGAUGAUAGCAGAUUCCAGUCAAAGAAUGCUUUAUUUGCAUGUGAUAAUCAGUACUCUUCUGAUUGUGAUGCCAAAGUGGACAUAACAGGUAGAAUUUUGGCAGUUGUUUUGAUGAAUUAUUGUAUGAUGUAUCCUUGAUUUGAUUGUUAACCCUUGUGGCUGAUGUUAAUAAUAUUAUUUCUGACAAUUUUGUUAUGGUCGAGACAAUUGAAAUAUAAAUAGUUAUUUUUUUUAUUGAAAUAUAAAUACUUGCUAUAGUAUUAAAGAAUUAAGGUUUUUGUAUGUUACUGUUUGGUGCUAGAAAAUCA